UACAGAGGGGGCAAGCGUUAUUCGGAAUUAUUGGGCGUAAAGGGCGCGUAGGCGGCCAUUCAAGUGACGGGUGAAAGCCCUCGGCUUAACCGAGGAGCUGCCUGUCAGACUGGAUGGCUUGAGACCGGGAGAGGUGAGUGGAAUUCCCAGUGUAGCGGUGAAAUGCGUAGAUAUCUGGAGGAAUACCGGUGGCGAAGGCGGCAUCCUGGACCGGCAUUGACGCUGACAGCGAAAGCUA
rnacentral:rRNA from 1 species